rnacentral:lncRNA from 1 species
AGUCUUGCUCUUCACAGAGCUUUGAGGAGCUGGACCAAAAUUGUGCUCCACAGAGAGAAGAUACCGGUGCCGGGAAGCACCAGUGCCCUGAGGAAGGGCCAUUUCUAAAAGCCCUGUGCUGACACAGGGGUGCUGGUUCGUCUUCAAGAGCCCACUCUCUGGGGUGGGGCCAUAUCUCCAGCAGAGGUGGGCUGGAAAGGAUCCCCCCACCCUGCCCGCCGUGAGUUUAGCUGGAGCCAUGGCCUCUGCACGCCUCUCGACGCUUGCGAUGCUCUUCACAUUGAACUAUUUUUGAAACAUCUAAAUCAGGAACAGAGAUUCCGGAUCAUUAUUAGCUUUUAAAGUUGGGUUCUUUGAGGCCCCAAAGAGACAAGAAUAACAGAAAAUUUGCUGAGAAUCCUGCUUGGGCUUCUGAGGCUUCCUUCAUUAGGAUCAUGGGCGACGAGGAGCCGGCAGAAAGUGGGAGUCCUGGUCCCCAAAUGUCCAGGACGCAGCCAACUCUUCUCUGAAGUGCUCCACUAUUUCCAGUACUUCAUGUGGCACAGACAAUAUCCUCAAAAAAGAAGUUCAGUAUUGCAAUUGGAUUCUGAAUAGAGAUACCUUCUCUUCAUAGGUGGAAGCUAGAUGAUGAGAACACAUGGACACAUAGAGGGGAACAACAGACCCUGGGGCCUAUUGAAGAGUGAAAGAAAUGUCUUCAAUGUCUUCAAUACUCCUGAUGAACUUCCUCCAUCUACAUCUACUCUGAGGAAAAAGACAAUGGAAUGAAGGAAAUAAGGAACAAAAGUGGAGAUAGCGGAAGUGGGGAAAAAAGUAAGAAAAUGCUGGAGGAAAAAGGAGAAACAUUUUGUGUGGACUUCAAAAUAUGGCCUUCAGCACAUGUUCACAGCACAGAAUCAGCUGUGUAGGUUUUGAAGUGUAAAGAAAAAGGUCUGGAUGGAAGAAGAGAGGAGGGGGAGGGGCGAAUGUAAUCAAGGAAGGCAUCCUACACAUGUCCUAUUUCUUUUAUCACCAAUUGAAGCCUUAUUUUAGACAUACGCUAUGUUCACGUAUAAAUAUAAAUAUAUUUUUAGAUUUACAAAUCUAUUCUAACUUGUUUUAUUUGUAUUUACUUUUCUUAAAAUGGGGAUAAACAAAAUGAUAUAUACCAUAAAAGAGGGUAUUCCUUUGUUAGACCCUCAAUGUAAAUAAAUUCUCAAAUUCUCUGC